rnacentral:tRNA from 1 species
GGCGGUAUGGCCAAGUGGUAAGGCAGAGGAUUGCAAAUCCUUGAUCCCCAGUUCAAAUCUGGGUACCGCCU